rfam:Sphingobium sp. Ant17 Contig_249, whole genome shotgun sequence.
GGGUCCAUAGCUCAGUCGGUAGAGCAACUGACUUUUAAUCAGUAGGUCGCUGGUUCGAACCCAGCUGGACUCA